GACGAACGCUGGCGGCGUGCUUAACACAUGCAAGUCGUACGGUAAGGCCCUUUCGGGGGUACACGAGUGGCGAACGGGUGAGUAACACGUGAGUAACCUGCCCACAACUUUGGGAUAACGCUAGGAAACUGGUGCUAAUACUGGAUAUGUGCUCCUGCUGCAUGGUGGGGGUUGGAAAGCUCCGGCGGUUGUGGAUGGACUCGCGGCCUAUCAGCUUGUUGGUGGGGUAGUGGCCUACCAAGGCGGCGACGGGUAGCCGGCCUGAGAGGGUGACCGGCCACAUUGGGACUGAGAUACGGCCCAGACUCCUGCGGGAGGCAGCAGUGGGGAAUAUUGCACAAUGGGCGCAAGCCUGAUGCAGCAACGCCGCGUGCGGGAUGACGGCCUUCGGGUUGUAAACCGCGUUCAGCAGGGACGAAGCUUUUUGUGACGGUACCUGCAGAAGAAGCACCGGCUAACUACGUG
rnacentral:rRNA from 1 species